UUNCAGUCACAAACAGGAUGUAGGGAAGG
rnacentral:piRNA from 1 species